ensembl:miRNA
GCUGGGCACUGCUUUCCUCCUGGGUACAACUCUGCUGUCUUUGUACUUUCUACUUGCAGGCGGUAUCAGGAGGCUGAGCUGUGCCCAGC